UGUUGAGAGGCAGGAAACAUGC
rnacentral:miRNA from 1 species